GAUGAACGCUAGCGGCAGGCUUAACACAUGCAAGUCGAGGGGUAUAGUUCUUCGGAAUUAGAGACCGGCGCACGGGUGCGUAACGCGUAUGCAAUCUACCUUUCACAGAGGGAUAGCCCCAGAGAAAUUUGGAUUAAUACCUCAUAGUAUAGCAGUUUCGCAUGAAACCACUAUUAAAGUCACAACGGUGAAAGAUGAGCAUGCGUCCCAUUAGCUAGUUGGUAAGGUAACGGCUUACCAAGGCAACGAUGGGUAGGGGUCCUGAGAGGGAGAUCCCCACACUGGUACUGAGACACGGACCAGACUCCUACGGGAGGCAGCAGUGAGGAAUAUUGGACAAUGGCGCAAGCCUGAUCCAGCCAUGCCGCGUGCAGGAUGACGGUCCUAUGGAUUGUAAACUGCUUUAUACAGGAAGAAAACACUAACUU
rnacentral:rRNA from 1 species